CCGCCGUCACCACUUAAUAGAUGGGUUAUAAAUGGAAAAUGGGUUUUGUGUCUCAUGCACCUUGGAAUAUAAAAUUGUUAAUUUGGAUAUUAAUGGGUUUGAGCGGAAUUGGAACGGAGGAUUUCAUACCUCUCCAACAGGACGAUCUGGCGUGGGUAGCUGUCCAUAAUCAUCAGCAAAGACACAAAUUUCACUCCCAUAGCAAAAGACGGAGGCUAGGAAUUUGGUUGAACAAGGCGGUCGAAACUGAAGUGCAGAAGUGCCGGAAUUACUAUAAGAAGUGUGUAUGAUGCUGAUGGCCUAGUGAUCUCUAAUGGAUGAAUUCUCUUAUAAAACCUCUUGAGAUCAUAUUUCACCUGAAAAAAGCUUAACGACGGUGCUUAUGAUGCCGAUGACAUAAUGAAUGAUUUCUCUUACGAAAUCUCUUGCAACAAGGAUUCCUAGUUUUCUCAUUGCCAUAAUGAC